rnacentral:rRNA from 1 species
GGGAAUAACCUUGCGAAAGUAAGACUAAUGCCCAAUGACAUUUAUAGAAGGCAUCUGAAAUGAAUUAAGAUUUAUCGGUGAUGGAUGGGGAUGCGUCUGAUUAGCUUGUUGGCGGGGUAACGGCCCACCAAGGCGACGAUCAGUAGGGGUUCUGAGAGGAAGGUCCCCCACAUUGGAACUGAGACACGGUCCAAACUCCUACGGGAGGCAGCAGUGAGGAAUAUUGGUCAAUGGGCGAGAGCCUGAACCAGCCAAGUAGCGUGCAGGAUGACGGCCCUAUGGGUUGUAAACUGCUUUUAUAAGGGAAUAAAGUGAGCCUCGUGAGGCUUUUUGCAUGUACCUUAUGAAUAAGGACCGGCUAAUUCCGUG